rnacentral:pre_miRNA from 1 species
GAUUUCAACUGAAAAAGUCAUCAACAACAAAAUUGUAUAACUCAUCAAGAUCUAUAACUUCUAUUUUGGUUAUUUUCUUCAUCCGAUAAAGUGAUUUGUAACAUUGUUCACAAAAUGUACAUAUCUCUUAUAGUUUUAUAAACUAUAAGAGAGAUGUGUAAAUUUUAAGAAUAUGUUACGAUCACUUUGCGGAUGAAGAAAUGACCAAAAUAGAAGUUAUAGAUCUUGAUGAGUUAUACAACUUUAUUGUUGAUGACUUUUUCAGCUGAAAUC